ensembl:lncRNA
CCUAGAUGAACAGCAUUUGAAGAUCCUCAGAGGCCUGGUGGUCAGACAGAGCCACGAGGGGAUGUUGAUCGAGAAGAAACAAUAACUACUGCUAGCUGUGGUGUAGAGGCACUUUUUGGCCAGACACUUCUGCCUGAGGAUCCUGAAGGAGAUGAGGCUGUCCAAGCUCAAGGUGCUGUCUCAGAGUGACUUCAGGUCCCUGCUGGCUCUAGUGAACCAGACCCAGGCAACAGUCAGCCCAACCAAGAUGAAAGCUCAGAAUCCGGAUCUCAGUGCCAGAAUCGCCAAGACGCACCUGGGACUGGAGACGCAGCUGAUUGGCCACAGUUUCCAGCAGGAAACUGGAGAUGGGGGCGGAGCUCCUGCAGGCCAACGCCCAGCUGCUGGUGGGACACGCCCUCAGCCAGGGCCUCUGGCAGCAGAUGGAUCAGGCCCCUCCCAGGUCCCAACCUGACCACAGCAGGAAGAGGGGUGGGAACGACGAGAGAACAGCUCUCAGAUUAACAAGGCCCUGCUGAAGGAGCUGGUCAACUGGGGGAGAAAGCCCAUGUCCACUGAGUUUUACCAGAGUAAUACUUAUAUAGAGUUGAACUGCAGAAGAAGAGGAUGUUGGAACCGUAUGACUUGGAGCUGGACGUUGCGUGUGAAACUUUGAGAGCAGGAAGUUAUCCCAGCAAAAAACAUGGAGAAAUUCAAAGGACAGUUACAGGAGGCAGAAGAGGCCUUCAUAGCUAAACUGUCUGCCUUAGGCCGGAUCCACUAUCCUGCAAAGAGCUUGACACUGAGGAUGACAUCAUAGAGGAGGAGAGUCCGACAUUGAAUCCAACAUCCUGGAAGAGGUGGGAGUGUGAAACUCUGCUCAUCAAUCCAACACUAGACAAUUGGAACCCAACUAUGUUUAAUUAAUACCUGAAAGUGUAGCUCUGUGAUGGGGGUGUACUGGGCAUUUUUGCUGUUUUCACGUGAAUGUAACCCUUUUUAAACCUCUUUAUGUACAUUUUGUUUUUUUAUUUACUCUGUGGAGGAGGGUCAUUGUUUCAGAGACACUGUAGAAGGACAGAGUAGGACAGGGUUGGCUGACCUUCUCUAGUCACUCGUAGGCUCAGUCACUGGUAUACUUUUAUUUACAAAGCCAUUUUGGGUUUACUACCUUUUUAUUUGGGCAUUUUUAUUGUUCAGAAAUGUGGUGGGUACUCUCUUCGUUCGCUGGACAUUAUCCUGCUAACUGUUCCACAUGUCCGAGCUGAAUUUGGUAAAAGCGCUUUUAUGUACUCUGCGCCAUAGUCUUGGAACGCCUUACAAAAUACUUUUAAACUGGAAGAACUUGUCUCGAUUGGUAUUUUUAAAUCACUGAUGAAUGAUCUUGAGACUGAUUCCCUGACCUGUCAAUGUUUUUGAUUUGGUGUUUCUGAUUUUGUUAUACUCUUGUGAAUUCUAUGGUUUUUACUAGAUUACUUGUAGUUUUUCAUGUUGUUUGUCUGUAAUUUUUGUAAUGACUUUGGUGCUGCCUAUCUUGGCCAGGAC